UCAAGAGUCUAAGUCAAGAGGACAAAGUAAGAACUAGGGAAUAUCCAUAAACAAUGUAAGAGUAAUUAGUGUUUGGCAUAGGAGACCUUUGUGGUUAGUAAGAUGCCAAAGGAUCCAAGGACCAUAGGAUACCCUUGAGGUACGUUAGAUACCAAAGGAUCUUAGGACCAAGGAUCAUGUGUGUAAAAAUCAAUGAAAGGAAGUUAUUUUGUAGGUGUGAGCUAAAUUCCUCCACCCUUAAUUGCGUUUAGUAGUCAAGUGGAUUAACUUCACUCACACGCAAUUUUUAUAAACCCUAAGUUCAUUCAUAAACCCUAAGUUCAUCCAAAAAUCCUAAGUUCAUCCAAAAACCCUAAGUUCAUCCAGAAACCCUAAGUUCAUUCAUCCUAAAUUUCCCUUCAUCAAUCAUCCAUCCCUUAAAUCUCAUUCAUCCUAUAACAUUCAUUCAUUCAAAGUUUGUUCAUCUAAUUUUCAUCUAAAGAUUCAUUCAUCCAACCAUAAGUCAACUUAUCAUCCAACUGACAAUUCGUGCAAUUGACCUAAUUCAUCCAAGAUUCAUCCUAAAAAUUAAAGAAAAUUAGAAGUCGCCACCUUUCAAGUCAUGGUAGCAACCCCCUUGCACGAAUUCCACUACAAUGGUUGCAUCACUAACUUGUUUACAACAAGCUUUGCUAUUUUAGAAAGUAGACUUACAAGCGCUUGUCCUCCAACAAAAUUCAAUGCAAAACAACAAUUAAGCUAAGAGAAAUCUUGCCUCAAAGUUGCCUGACUUUCUCGGCCUAGUCAGAGCACCCCUGGCCACAAAAACCCUUGCCCUUUCUCCAUUCCAGUUGUGCAAUGCAUAUGCUUUAGCAUUCCAGAAACUAGAAUUAAAGCCGCAUCACCUCCAACAAUUUUUUCUUGAAAAUCUUGAGUGAAUUCCAAGAUAUGACCUUCCAAAGUAGCUUGAGUUGGCAGAGUGCUACAUCUUCACCACGGCCGACUCCUCUUCACUCCAACCACCAUAACUUCCUUGGCCUUUACUCAAUCUAAGCGUGCAAAUAGUCCUUGCAAAGCUGACAACAAGAACCAUCCCCCACAAAAGUUUCAGCUCCAAAUUCAAUACUGUCCGCCAACACUCGCCUUCCAAAGUCGGACCUCCAGAUCUGGCCGGCAGCUGACCUCCUUGUCACUAAAACCACCACAACUUUCUUGUUUUCUCUCCAAACAAAGCGUGCCUACUGUCCCGAGGAAGCUAACGACAAGAUCUAAGUAUUGGUAAGAUUUGACGUUCUAUUUCCAGAUAACUAAUACACUACAGCUGUGCAAUUGCAGCUCUAUAGAAACAAGGGUACGUGGGGAUGCAAUUUGGCACGGCUUCGCCCCAAAAAAAAAAAAAGAGAGAGAGAGAGCGAGUGUGGCCACCCCCACCCUCUUAUCCAAGUAAGAAGAGACCAAAGGGUGGCGGCC
rnacentral:lncRNA from 1 species